UACGGAGGGUGCGAACGUUAAUCGGAAUCACUGGGCGUAAAGCGCGCGUAGGCGGUCUGUUAAGUGGGAUGUGAAAGCCCCGGGCUCAACCUGGGAAUUGCAUUCGAGACUGAAUAGCUAGGGUACGGUAGAGGGAAGUGGAAUUUCCGGUGUAGCGGUGAAAUGCGUAGAUAUCGGAAGGAACAUCAGUGGCGAAAGCGACUUCCUGGACCAGUACCGACGUUCAGGCACGAAAGCGUGGGGAGCAAACAGG
rnacentral:rRNA from 1 species